UACGGAGGGGGCUAGCGUUGUUCGGAAUUACUGGGCGUAAAGCGCGUGUAGGCGGCCAUGCAAGUCGGAUGUGAAAGCCCUCGGCUCAACCGGGGAAGUGCACCCGAAACUGCAAGGCUAGAGUCUCGGAGAGGAUCGUGGAAUUCUCGGUGUAGAGGUGAAAUUCGUAGAUAUCGAGAGGAACACCGGUGGCGAAGGCGGCGAUCUGGACGGUGACUGACGCUGAGACGCGAAAGCGUGGGGAGCAAACAGG
rnacentral:rRNA from 1 species